GACGAACGCUGGCGGCGUGCCUAAUACAUGCAAGUAGAACGCUGAAGGAGGAGCUUGCUUCUCUGGAUGAGUUGCGAACGGGUGAGUAACGCGUAGGUAACCUGCCUGGUAGCGGGGGAUAACUAUUGGAAACGAUAGCUAAUACCGCAUAACAGUAGAUAUCGCAUGAUAUCUACUUGAAAGGUGCAAUUGCAUCACUACCAGAUGGACCUGCGUUGUAUUAGCUAGUUGGUGAGGUAACGGCUCACCAAGGCGACGAUACAUAGCCGACCUGAGAGGGUGAUAGGCCACACUGGGACUGAGACUCGGCCCAGACUUCUACGGGAGGCAGCAGUAGGGAAUCUUCGGCAAUGGACGGAAGUCGGACCGAGCAACGCCGCGUGAGAGAAGAAGGUUUUCGGAUCGUAAAGCUCUGUUAUAAGAGAAGAACGAGUGUGAGAGUGGAAAGUUCACACUGUGACGGUAUCUUACCAGAAAGGGACGGCUAACUACGUG
rnacentral:rRNA from 1 species